GCCUAAAGCGUCCGUAGCCGGCUCUGUUAGUUUUCGGUUAAAUCCAUAUGCUCAACAUAUGGGCCGCCGGGAAUACUACAAAGCUAGGGAGUGGGAGAGGUAGACGGUACUCCGUAGGAAGGGGUAAAAUCCUUUGAUCUAUGGAUGACCACCAGUGGCGAAGGCGGUCUACCAGAACACGUUCGACGGUGAGGGAUGAAAGCUGGGGGAGCAAACCGGAUUAGAUACCCGGGUAGUCCCAGCUGUAAACUAUGCAAACUCAGUGAUGCAUUGGCUUGUGGCCAGUGCAGUGCCGCAGAGAAGUCGUUAAGUUUGCCGCCUGGGAAGUACGUACGCAAGUAUGAAACUUAAAGGAAUUGGCGGGGGAGCACCACAAGGGGUGAAGCCUGCGGUUCAAUUGGAGUCAACGCCAGAAAUCUUACCCGGAGAGACAGCAGAAUGAAGGUCAAGUUGAAGCCUUUACCAGACAAGCUGAGAAGUGGUGCAUGGUCGUCGCCAGCUCGUGCCGUGAGGUGUCCUGUUAAGUCAGGUAACGAGCGAGAUCCUUGCCUCUAGUUGCUACCAUUACUCUCAGGAGUAGUGGGGCGAAUUAGCGGGACUGCCGUAGUUAAUACGGAGGAAGGAGAGGGCCACGGCAGGUCAGUAUGCCCCGAA
rnacentral:rRNA from 1 species